GGUUCAAUUAGGUUGGUUUAAAUAAUGAAACCACCUUGACCCAUUCUCCCUGCGCCACCUGACUUCCACUGCGUCCAUUUGAAUUCACGAGAAGGAAGUUCUCAUGAAUUUUUUCUCAUGCAAAGCCCUCCUCACGCCCUUCUUUAAUGCACCAAAUGAGUGGAUAAGGAUGAUUGGUUGGCCAUUCAAAUUCAAAACAAAGUUUGAAUUUGAAUGAGCAACCAAUCUUAGCGCCUUGACCUUAUCCUCUUUUAACGCCCC
rnacentral:lncRNA from 1 species